CGCGGCAGUCGCGCCAUCGCGCCAUCGAUGCUACGAGCAGGGAGCAGCGGAGCAACGACGGGAGGUUAUGCGAAUGGAUUCGAUUUGUUUUUACGCUACGAAAGAUUCCGAGGCUUACGAAGAUAAAAGUUAAUUCCGUAUCCUGCUAAACAAAUUGGCCUACGAAGAUAAAAGUUAAUUCCGUAUCCUGCUAAACAAAUUGACUUACAAAGAUGAAGAUAAAUUCUGUAUCUUGUUAAACAAAUUGAAUACGAAGGAACGUCAUAUGAAGAUUUACAUAGUGAGAAACACUUUUUGCAGGAGGCACUAUUGUGUUUCUUGAUAUUAUUGGGUUGAACAGAAAAUUCGUUUUGUUUUUUGUUGAAAGACGGCAUUAAUAUAAAUAUCUGCGACUUCAUUCCAAUUAAUUAAUAUUUAAUAUUGUUCGAUAGUUGACAUUCUGAUACGCAUUUAAAAAAAAACAUUUUAAAGAUUAGUUCUAUUUUGAAUAUUUGGUGUCAGGUCAAAGAUGGUCAAUCAUAAUGAGCAUUUUCGGCAUAUUAUGCUUUAUUACUUCAAAAAAGGCAAAAGUGCAGCCAAAACUCGAAAAAAGAUUUGUGCCGUGUACGGAGAGGAUGCCGUAAACGAACGAACAUGCCGAAAGUGGUUUGCCAAGUUCCGCGCCGGAAAUUUUGUUCUCGACGAUGCACCACGCUCAGGACGGCCGGUCGAGAUUGACGAUGAUAAAAUUCAGACACUAAUUAAAGAUAACCCGCAUUAUUCGACUCGAAUGAUCGCAGAAAUUCUCAAAGUAUCGCAAACAGCCGUUGUCGAACAUUUACACGCGCUCGGAUACAUAAAUCGGCUCGAUACUUGGAUACCAUGGACAUAAAUAUAAUUUAUUGAAAGAAAAUUUAAUAGAACGAAUUUCUGUAUGCGAUUCGCUGCACAAACGAAACGAAAAUGAUCCAUUUUUAAAACGAAUUAUUACCGGAGACGAAAAAUGGAUUAUUUAUAACGACUUGAUGCGACAGAGAUCGUCUGGCAGACAAGACGAGC